GAUGAAGAACGUAGCGAAAUGCGAUAAGUAAUGUGAAUUGCAGAAUUCAGUGAAUUAUCGAAUCUUUGAACGCACCUUGCGCCCUUUGGCCAUUCCGAAGGGCAUGCCUGUUUGAGUAUCAUGAACACCUCAACUCUUCAUGGUUUUCCAUGAUGAGCUUGGACUUUGGGGGUCUUGCUGGCCUGUGGGUCGGCUCCUCUCAAAUGAAUCAGCUUGCCGGUUUUUGGUGGGCAUCACAGGUGUGAUAACUAUCUACGCUUGUGGUUUUCCACCAGGGUAACCUUCAGCAGUGGAGGUUCACUGGGGCUUACAAAUGUCUCUCCUCUGUGAGGACAGCCCUUUGAAUGUUUGAUCUCAAAUCAGGUAGGACUACCCGCUGAACUUAAGCAUAUCAAUAAGCGGAGGA
rnacentral:misc_RNA from 1 species